CGGCGAGUGAAGUGGGAAGAGCUCAUGUUUGAAAUCCAGCUCCCCGCGGGGCUGGAGUUGUAACCUAGAGGAGCGUGAUCGCCUGCCGGCAGGGCCGCGGCCAAGUCCGAUUUGAAAAGGGUACCGAGGAGGGUGGCAGUCCCGUUCGUGCCGCAGUCCCGCCGGCGAUGUGGCCCGCUUCCAACGAGUCGAGUUGCUUGGGAUUGCAGCUCAAAGUGGGUGGUAAACUCCAUCCAAAGCUAAACACGGGUGGGAGACCGAUAGCGAACAAGUACCGUGAGGGAAAGAUGCAAAGAACUUUGAAAAGAGAGUCAAAGAGUGCCUGAAAUUGCUGAGAGGGAAGCGAAGGAAAGUAGUGUCAGUCGAGGGGACCUCGCACACUUGGGGAGCGACGUUCCGCGGCGUUCCCCAGGUUAUGUCCCCCGCGGUGUCAGGGGCGGGUGCGUUGCCGGAGGCGGCGGCCCAGGGUAUAGGUUCUCCGAGGUAAGAGCCGGAGGAAUGCUGCAACAUGGGAUCCGCGUCUUGGUCGCGGCCGUCCCUGACGAAA
rnacentral:rRNA from 1 species